GGGAGCAGCCCAGAGCCUGAAUCAGUGUGUGUGUUAGUGGAAGGGUCUGGAAAGGCGCGCGAUACAGGGUGACAGCCCCGUACACAAAAAUACACAUACUGUGAGCUCGAUGAGUAGGGCGGGACACGUGGUAUCCUGUCUGAAUAUGGGGGGACCAUCCUCCAAGGCUAAAUACUCCUGACUGACCGAUAGUGAACCAGUACCGUGAGGGAAAGGCGAAAAGAACCCCGGCGAGGGGAGUGAAAAAGAACCUGAAACCGUGUACGUACAAGCAGUGGGAGCACAGAGCAAUCUGUGUGACUGCGUACCUUUUGUAUAAUGGGUCAGCGACUUAUAUUCUGUAGCAAGGUUAACCGAAUAGGGGAGCCGAAGGGAAACCGAGUCUUAACUGGGCGUUAAGUUGCAGGGUAUAGACCCGAAACCCGGUGAUCUAGCCAUGGGCAGGUUGAAGGUUGGGUAACACUAACUGGAGGACCGAACCGACUAAUGUUGAAAAAUUAGCGGAUGACUUGUGGCUGGGGGUGAAAGGCCAAUCAAACCGGGAGAUAGCUGGUUCUCCCCGAAAGCUAUUUAGGUAGCGCCUCGUGAAUUCAUCUCCGGGGGUAGAGCACUGUUUCGGCAAGGGGGUCAUCCCGACUUACCAACCCGAUGCAAACUGCGAAUACCGGAGAAUGUUAUCACGGGAGACACACGGCGGGUGCUAACGUCCGUCGUGAAGAGGGAAACAACCCAGACCGCCAGCUAAGGUCCCAAAGUCAUGGUUAAGUGGGAAACGAUGUGGGAAGGCCCAGACAGCCAGGAUGUUGGCUUAGAAGCAGCCAUCAUUUAAAGAAAGCGUAAUAGCUCACUGGUCGAGUCGGCCUGCGCGGAAGAUGUAACGGGGCUAAACCAUG
rnacentral:rRNA from 1 species